rnacentral:rRNA from 1 species
CCUACGGGUGGCAGCAGUGAGGAAUAUUGGUCAAUGGACGAGAGUCUGAACCAGCCAAGUAGCGUGAAGGAUGACUGCCCUAUGGGUUGUAAACUUCUUUUAUAAAGGAAUAAAACGAGGCACGUGUGCCUUUUUGCAUGUACUUUAAGAAUAAGGAUCGGCAAACCCCGCGCCAGCAGCGCCGGUAAUACGGAGGAUCGGAGCGGUAUCCGGAUUUAUUGGGUUUAAAGGGAGCGUAGAUGGGUUGUUAAGUUAGUUGUGAAAGUUUGCGGCUCAACCGUAAAAGUGCAAUUGAUACUGGCAGUCUUGAGUACAGUUGAGGUAGGCGGAAUUCGUGGUGUAGCGGUGAAAUGCUUAGAUAUCACGAAGAACCCCGAUUGCGAAGGCAGCUUACUAAACUGUGACUGACAUUGAUGCUCGAAAGUGUGGGUAGCAAACAGGAUUAGAUACCCUAGUAGUC